UGUGGGAGCUGGCUUGCCUGCGAUGCAGGCGACUCGGUGUAUCUGGUGUAUCGAGUGGAUGCUAUCGCAGGCAAGCCAGCUUCCACA
rnacentral:antisense_RNA from 1 species